rnacentral:rRNA from 1 species
AGAGUUUGAUCAUGGCUCAGGAUGAACGCUAGCUACAGGCUUAACACAUGCAAGUCGAGGGGAAACGAUAUUGGAAGCUUGCUUCCGAUAGGCGUCGACCGGCGCACGGGUGAGUAACGCGUAUCCAACCUGCCCACCACUUGGGGAUAACCUUGCGAAAGUAAGACUAAUACCCAAUGACGUCUCUAGAAGACAUCUGAAGGAGAUUAAAGAUUUAUCGGUGAUGGAUGGGGAUGCGUCUGAUUAGCUUGUUGGCGGGGUAACGGCCCACCAAGGCAACGAUCAGUGGGGGUUCUGAGAGGAAGGUCCCCCACAUUGGAACUGAGACACGGUCCAAACUCCUACGGGAGGCAGCAGUGAGGAAUAUUGGUCAAUGGGCGAGAGCCUGAACCAGCCAAGUAGCGUGCAGGAAGACGGCCCUAUGGGUUGUAAACUGCUUUUAUAAGGGAAUAAAGUUAGUCUCGUGAGACUUUUUGCAUGUACCUUAUGAAUAAGGACCGGCUAAUUCCGUGCCAGCAGCCGCGGUAAUACGGAAGGUCCGGGCGUUAUCCGGAUUUAUUGGGUUUAAAGGGAGCGUAGGCCGGAGAUUAAGCGUGUUGUGAAAUGUAGACGCUCAACGUCUGCACUGCAGCGCGAACUGGUUUCCUUGAGUACGCACAAAGUGGGCGGAAUUCGUGGUGUAGCGGUGAAAUGCUUAGAUAUCACGAAGAACUCCGAUUGCGAAGGCAGCUCACUGGAGCGCAACUGACGCUGAAGCUCGAAAGUGCGGGUAUCGAACAGGAUUAGAUACCCUGGUAUUCCACGCCGUAAACGAUGAUGGCUAACCGCCGGCGACACACUGUCGGUGGCCAAGCGAAAGCGAUAAGCCAUCCACCUGGGGAGUACGUCGGCAACGAUGAAACUCAAAGGAAUUGACGGGGGCCCGCACAAGCGGAGGAACAUGUGGUUUAAUUCGAUGAUACGCGAGGAACCUUACCCGGGCUCGAACGGCACCUGGAUCACCCAGAGAUGGGCGAGUCUUCGGACAGGUGUCGAGGUGCUGCAUGGUUGUCGUCAGCUCGUGCCGUGAGGUGUCGGCUCAAGUGCCAUAACGAGCGCAACCCUUGCCGCCAGUUGCCAUCAGGUGAUGCUGGGCACUCUGGCGGGACUGCCACCGCAAGGUGUGAGGAGGGGGGGGAUGACGUCAAAUCAGCACGGCCCUUACGUCCGGGGCGACACACGUGUUACAAUGGCGGCCACAGAGGGAAGCUACCCCGCGAGGGGAUGCGGAUCUCGAAAAGCCGUCCCAGUUCGGACUGGAGUCUGCAACCCGACUCCACGAAGUUGGAUUCGCUAGUAAUCGCGCAUCAGCCAUGGCGCGGUGAAUACGUUCCCGGGCCUUGUACACACCGCCCGUCAAGCCAUGGAAGCCGCGGGCGCCUGAAGUCCGUGACCGGAAGGAGCGGCCUAGGGCGAAAGUGGUAACUGGGGCUAAGUCGUAACAAGGUA